CCAACAGUCACCUGAGCUAAACAGAGCUUGUUUUGAUAUACAUUUUUAUUUUGUCUGUAGUAAUUUACGUAAUUACUGGAAAUGUUACAAACUAAAGGUACGUAAUAGUUCAGAAGUUUUACAAGUUUUUUAGCAACACAUGUCCUAUCUUGCCAUGAACCUGCAUUAUCUAUACGGUAAAUACAAAUGACUGUGGUGUUCCCAUUGCUUACACCACCAUUACUUUGUGAAAAACAGUAAGUGUGCAGUUUUACUAUAGUAAAGGAAGUGUUUUUACACAUUUUUUAUAACUGUGUAUGUAACCACAGACAUCUUACGUGGACA